GCGAGGAUGGCGAAAUUGGUAGACGCACCAGGUUUAGGUCCUGACGCCCGCAAGGGUGUGGGGGUUCGAGUCCCCCUCCUCGCACCA
rnacentral:tRNA from 17 species